GGAAGCGGAUGUCGUCUGGUGGCGAUCCCGGCCUUCAAAGCCGUGCGGGGGGCAAAGAUCUUGUCCCCGGUGGGUUCGAUUCCCACCCCUUCCGCCA
rnacentral:tRNA from 1 species